UACAGAGGGUGCAAGCGUUAAUCGGAAUUACUGGGCGUAAAGCGUGCGUAGACGGUGAUGUAAGUCGGGUGUGAAAGCCCCGGGCUCAACCUGGGAAUGCCAUUCGAGACUGCAUAGCUAGGGUGCGGAAGAGGGAAGCGGAAUUUCCGGUGUAGCGGUGAAAUGCGUAGAUAUCGGAAGGAACACCAGUGGCGAAAGCGGCUUCCUGGUCCAGCACCGACGUUCAGGCACGAAAGCGUGGGGAGCAAACAGG
rnacentral:rRNA from 1 species